rnacentral:rRNA from 1 species
UACAGAGGUCUCAAGCGUUGUUCGGAUUCAUUGGGCGUAAAGGGUGCGUAGGUGGCGCUGUAAGUCGGGUGUGAAAUUUCGGAGCUUAACUCCGAAAACUGCAUUCGAUACUGCGGUGCUUGAGGACUGGAGAGGAGACUGGAAUUCAUGGUGUAGCAGUGAAAAUGCGUAGAGAUCAUGAGGAAGACCAGUGGCGAAGGCGGGUCUCUGGACAGUUCCUGACACUGAGGCACGAAGGCCAGGGGAGCAAACGGG